ensembl:lncRNA
CAAGUAAAGUGAAUGAUAAGUCACAUGAUAAUGGCUAAAGAAAAAUGAAGAGAGAGUCGAGAGAUGGGUGAGGACAGGCAGAGAAAGCCUCUGAGCAGAGAGGAAAGAGGUGAUGGAGAGAGCCAUCAACUAUUGGGAGAAAGAGUUCUAGGCAAGAAUACUGAAGUGGAUAGCCAUUUCCUUCUCCAGGGGAUCUUCCUGACCCAGGGAUUGAACCCAGGACUCCUGCACCGGCAGGCGGAUUCCUUAUGUCUGAGUCACCUGGGAAGCCCAAUAUUGAAAGAGAUCUCAUUUCGCUGAGGAUUGGUGAAAACGUCGCUGGUCAACCUGGAAAAGACAGGCUGGGAUUCAGAUUGGAGCCUCUGGCCUGGAAGAACCCGUCCUUCAAAUUCUUGCUCCCAUCUUUUUCCGUCUCUCCAAUUCCUCUGUCAAUUUCUCCCUGUCUCUCCUUUUACCUACACACACACAUAUGCACAUGCACACAUGCCUGUGUGUGCAUGUGCACACACACACACACACACACACACACAUUUCAAAGCUCCAAAGAGAGAUGUGCUAUGUAUCAGAACCAGGUCUUGGGCAGAAAAGAAAGGCAAUCUCUUCUAUUCCAAAUCCGGAGUCCCUAACUCUGAAAGGAGAAGGAGAGAGGGGGUAGAUUAUGAGAGAAUCUUUCCUGCCUCCCUACUGACCCUCUUUAUUAUAUUCUCAGUAUUUGUUUAUGAUUCCUGUUAAUC